AUGUGCACUGAACAUUUGACAACAAGAGAAGAAGUGAAUUUUUUUUGCAAUGAGGUACUUUCUUUGGCUGAGAAUUGUGACUAUAGCUAUGAAAGAAAUUAUGACAGCGAAGAUUCUGAUGAAGAUUCAGUAGCUUGUGCUGGUAGUGAAGAUUAUGUGUUCCCUACACCAGAAGAAGCGGACCGUGCUAGUAGACCAGAAGUUGGUAUAGUAUUCUCAACAUUGGAUGAAUCGCUCAGGUUUGCAAAUGUAUAUGCUCAGUUGAAUGUGUUCGCAGUGAUAAAAGGGAGAAAUUACAAGAAUAGGAAAUUGUAUUUCCAAUGCAACAAAGGUAGGAAAAGACCAAGUGCCAACAGUGGUUUGAGGAAAAGGAAAAGAAACAUCAUUGAAGGUACAAAUUGUCCGAUGAAUAUUAUAGUGAAGUUGGUGGAUGACAAGUGGCACAUUGCAUCAGUUUCUCUUCAGCAUAACCAUGAUCUAGUGAGCUCACCAUCACUUACAAAAAUUUUCUUAAGCCACAGAAAUAUGAAUGAGGAAGAGAUAAUGUUGUCCAAGUUGCUCCAAGAACAACGAGUGAAACCUAGAAGAAUCAUGAGUAUAUUCCGAAGGCUAUGUGGUGGGAAGUUGGGAAACAAUACGUUUGAUGUGAAGAAGCUAGAUAACUUGAAACAGGGAGAACGAAUCCUUAAGAAAGAGAACACAGAUAUUGAAUGGACAUUGCAGUAUAUUGACAAGCUUCAAAUUGAUACUCCUGGUUUCUGCUAUAGGUUGCAAAGAGACACAGACAACACUGUCCUCGGCAUAUUUUGGACAGAUGCUCGAUUCCGAUUGAACUACAGGUUGUUUGGCAAAAUAAUCUCAUUUGAUACCACUUACAGCACAAACAAGUAUAACAUGCCUUUUGCACCUAUAGUUGGAAUUAAUGGACAUGGUAGAACAAUUGUUUUUGGUUGGGCCCUAUUGCAAGAUGAGACUUCAGAUACUUUUGAAUGGAUCUUUCAAACUUUUAUGGAGGUAAUGCAGUGGAAGAAACCAGGAAUAAUAUUGACAGACCAAGAUGCAGGGAUGAAAGCUGCUAUUCCUAAAGUUUUUCCAUAUGCUAUACAUAGGUUCUGUCUUUGGCAUAUAUUUAAGAAUGUCAGGGAAAAUAUGAGUGCAUUUAUGGCUACAAGGGAAAAAAUGGAGAAACAUAUGAUGAAGUGCUUGUUGUAG
rnacentral:rRNA from 1 species